rnacentral:rRNA from 1 species
UACACGUGAGCCAGUCACCCACCGUCCGGAUCGCUUUCCUUAUGCCGGGCCCUAUGCCGAUCCUUUUUCCAUCCACAUAAGACACGCCGGGUAACGAGCCUUUGACAGGGGGCGUGCGACCGACAAACCUAUCGCUAAUCCGGGUACUGGUAACAAGCUUUAUCGUGUCUUAGUAGUUCCUUUUUUUAUCCCUUAGAGAGGUCGUGCUGGUCUCAACGCACCUCAUUUGGUCUUGGUGGGUUGGCGAGACGACGAGGUCCCUUUUAUAGACCACGUGGCGGCUCUGGGUAGGUAGGGGUAGAGGUAGGUAGACCGAGGUGGCUCCGCUGACACGACGAGGCGGCUCUGGACGAGGUAGGGGUCGACGUAGACAAACCCCGUGCCGCCGCCGUCGCGACGGCCGGGCUAUAGAUGAACUAAGGGCAGAGGUAGGCAAACGGCCUGCCGCCACAGAAAGUGUCGUGUCGUUCUACAGGUGGUUACCGCAGCUCGAGCUACCCCACACACGAGGCGGGCGCCGUACCUUGUCGACGCGGAUAGGUCAGCUCAGCGUCCUAAGCUACUCGCAGGGUUGGUACCGUAAACCGUGGCCGCCGCUACGUGUCGAUCAGCCCCUACGUCGCUCCCGGCUCCACACAAGACUUCGUUGGUCACCGACCUGUGCGUCUACUAAUAGGUCCCACUCCUAGCCCUUUCGGGGCCUCCUUUCCCUCUACUUGGGUUUAUCCUUUAGUCGAUAACAUAACAGAGACGCGCGAAUACGACUAUUCUUCCUACCGGGAUAAGAGACAGGUUCAUAACCUUGUUCGAAACUGAGAUAACUGCUCCGAUACUCAAGAUGUUAGAAAUAAGUACCCUUACACCAAAACCUCAAUCCGAGCGCUUUUCAUCUGACUUACAGCUCUCCUUCUCUACGUACGUUCUCUAGCACACACGAACACGCCCGUUUGGUUAGUCCCUUUUGUCGGCGAGCAGAUCCACACCGACGUUGCGGUACUAUUCCGACAACGCCAGUUUACUGUUUCCCACCAUAUAACGUCUUGUGUUUCUACGGGUAUUAGUGGGCUACAGAAACUGCACACCCGUCUUCGACGUGACCUUCAGAGUAUCUGUAUAUCUAUCUAUGUGGUUCCUAGAUCACUUUGUCAACUCUCUGUUAUUACACCCCGAACCUUUCCACAAGUCAUAGCAACCAUCAAAAAAGCCAAGUCAUCUAUUACACGGUAAAUGCUUCUCCAGCAACUUCUGUGAGACAUCCUUUGAUUUAUCUCACAGAAGUUGCUGGAGAAGCCAAGUCAUCAGCAAUCCUUAGAGAACCAUCAGACUGUACCUACAUCACUUCUACUACCUCUAAGACAGACUCUACUUCCGAUUACUAGGACUAAAGUUAAUGUGUCAUGUUCACCUACUCCUCUCGGCACAUUUUUGUGACUACACCCAUUGUUCGUUUCCAAAACUAAUCAUGUCCACGAAGCCUCUACGUUAUUGAAAACUAUGUUGCAUGGCGUGGUUAGAUAUACUAUACGGAAAGCCAGAAAAACAACCUCAAUUGUUAGUGAAAGUUUCGUAUUAAAAACCACCGCGUUACUACUCCCUACUCUUUCUCCUGUGUAAGUUCACCUAUAAGUCCCUCAAGUAGGCGUACCAACCGCCCUUUGUGGGCGUCUGCUAAGAAUGACUGGUCCGCGCACGAUACCUCGACCGAUAACGCCGUCUUGAUGGUUUGUGUCAUGUGGCAACCACAUUCACCGUGCAAAACUUCUUCCGCUUCCUCAGCUACACACACGAGACCUCGUUCCUGUCAUUUAAAUUCUACCUCAAGGUGUUCGAACAUGUAGUGUACUAGUGUCUCCUUCUUAAACUUCGACCAACCGUCCUGUACAACCUUUUAAUGUUGAACUCCUUCGUAGGUAAGGACUGCGUCUAUAUGCUCCACGCCGUAUUCACCCGUUUCGGUAUAAAGUCUCCGCACAAAACAAGUUUCUACUGAUCGUGUGUUGCUUCGCUUUCACGAUUGGUAGACGACUUCCCAAUACAAGGUGGCCCCACGGGAUACGUGGAAAAGAACUUUGUUAAGCCUUUCGAAGUCAAACUGUCCCUCAGUCUUCUCUCGAAGGUUCUCUUCUCCUGUAACGAUUCACCACAGAGUGAGAACACAUCGUACGAUCGUUCCACAUGUGGGCUCGGUACAAGCUCUUUAAACCACUUCUCGACAUAUUUACACCGCGUGUACACAACCUACUCUAACAUGGCUCUUUCUAAAUGUUUAGUUGUGUACAUCUACGCCGCCGUUCUCUUUUUACCUCAUUCCAUCUCAAGUUCUAACUUCACUUACUACUGCUCUCAAAAAAAUCAACGCUUACACCGUGUAAACUUGUGAGACCGAACCACACAACGGUACGUAACGUCCAAUACCACAACCAGGCAGACAGCUUCUAUGGGCUCUUUGUAUAUUACUUUGCUGCCUGUUCUCUACGUGCUCUACAAGAAGGACGUGUAAACCAUGCCAUGGUUUCUCUGUCUCCGGGAGGAAGAUCACUGUGUAAGUCCGUAGUGUGUUACAUGUACUUCCGCGAACUUACACACAACGAACCACUAUCAUUACAAUUCACGAUACUACAAAAGUACCGAUACUACUUCCUCCACGUUCGGCGAGACCACGGCAAUUCGUCACUAUUCCUACCGUACCCUGAUCGGCUUUCCCUUGUUGUUUUAGUCAACGAACAAGUCUUGGUCGUUCUCCGUGAGCUCAACGUUCCGACACGCUGUUCCAGACUCACACUACCACUUAGUUCAACAAGUCACUAACAUCCUGUCGUCUUGUUUGCCGGCUCCCCAUCUGGAUGUCGUUCGGCACUGUUUCGAGGCAUACUUCUUGUAAACUUCUCUAGCGCCAAGACGUGCUAGACGUCCCCAGUCCCGGUGUUUACGUGUUGAACGGGUCUCUCUCCGCUAGACGGGUUCCGCGGUUCCUUUAACGGUUUCACAAGUUUAACACCACACGAACCUGUGUCCGCGUUACGAACACCGUGGUUCUUUAGACCUGGCAAGCUCGGGUUAAAAGACAUUCGCUCUGACGACGUGCGACACACAAGUAAAAGUAGAAGCGGUCCUGGUUCCUGACGCAUGCCUAAACAGUAGAUUUGCGCCCGUAAAGCAUGAAUUGCAAUCGCCACUACAUUAAAUUAAAAAAGAUAUCCGACGUUUAGACACGAAACGUACACGCUGUCGAACGACAACGACUACAACACUAAACAUCUCUUCUGACGUUAGAUACCCUAUAGUAAAAAUAAAACCACACGAAUUUACUCAACCAUUAGCGUUCAGAUAAAGUCUUGGU